GACGAGGAGGCGAGCGUUAUCCGGAUUCACUGGGCGUAAAGCGCAUGUAGGCGGCUGGACAAGUCGUGUGUUAAAGCCCCCUGGCUCAACUGGGGGGAGGUCAUGCGAGACUGUUCGACUUGAGGGCAACAGAGGCACGUGGAACUCCCCGGUGUAGCGGUGGAAUGCGUAGAGAUCGGGAAGAACACCAGUGGCGAAGGCGACGUGCUGGGUUGCAACUGACGCUGUAGAUGCGAAAGUGUGGGGAGCAAACGGG
rnacentral:rRNA from 1 species